rnacentral:rRNA from 1 species
AACGAACGCUGGCGGCAUGCCUAACACAUGCAAGUCGAACGAGACCUUCGGGUCUAGUGGCGCACGGGUGCGUAACGCGUGGGAACCUGCCCUUAGGUUCGGAAUAACUCCCCGAAAGGGGUGCUAAUACCGGAUAAUGUCUUCGGACCAAAGAUUUAUCGCCUUUGGAUGGGCCCGCGUUGCAUUAGCUAGUUGGUAGGGUAAAAGCCUACCAAGGCGACGAUCCAUAGCUGGUCUGAGAGGAUGAUCAGCCACACUGGGACUGAGACACGGCCCAGACUCCUACGGGAGGCAGCAGUGGGGAAUAUUGGAAAAUGGGCGAAAGCCUGAUCCAGCAAUGCCGCGUGAGUGAUGAAGGCAUUAGGGUUGUAAAGCGCUUGUACCCGGGAUGAUAAUGACAGUACCGGGAGAAUAAGCUCCGGCUAACUCCGUG